CCCCACAUUUUCCAAGAUACUCGGGCUUUAAAGGCACGAAGACCUCAUAUCCAUGUCCAUUAUCCUGUUGGUGACAGAGUGUCUCCCAAAAAUCGUGUGCACUGGAACCUGAGAAUGUGACUUUGCUUGGAAUAGAGUCCUUGCAGAUGUAAUCAAACUAAGAUGAGGUCAUUUGUGUCCUUACAAGAAAAGGAAAAAUUUGGACACAGAGAUGCACACGGGCAGAAGGCCAUGUGAUAGAAGACAGAUCGGAGUGGCCAUCUAUGUGACUAGGAGCACCAGGGACUGCCAGCAGUCACCAGAAGCGGGAAGAAGAAGGGAGGAUGGAGAUUUCCGAGGGAGCACGGCCCGACCUUGAUUUUGGACAUCCAGCCUCCAGAACGGGCAGCGACCAAGCAGCGGUUGUUACCGAUAAAGUCCUGUUGAACGAACCAAUAGAAACGAUGGUUCUGUAGUCAUGCGUUGGAAACACCCUUCUCCACUCUACGAUUGGAGUAACCACACAAUCAUCGACUCCUCGAUGGAGAGGCUGGGAGGCUUGACGGAGAAACUUACGCACAAAAUGUCUCUGGCUGCUUCCAAUGGAAAAAGAUAAACAAUGAAAAUAAAGCGAAUGUGCUUCAAGAGACGGGAAUCCAAUCGUGCAACGGCAGGUCAGGCCUGCAGGAGUGAUCAGUUUGUCCCCGGUGUCUUUUAUCCUUUGUGGAGGGCCAGCGCCCCACCUCGAAUCACCUAAGACCAGAGCUUACGUGACCGGGUCCGAGCCACCCCGGGACAGGAGGCUGCAGAGGGACAGAUGUAGGUGAGGAAGCCCAACCUGCAGCCACCACGGCCACCGGAAUGGCGUGGGAGCCUUAAGGGACGAGACGAGGCUCUCACCCGCUCCCUGCCGAGCUCUGGGUGCUCAGUACGUUUCUCCAAUACACGUCCACACUGGGUGGCCACGCGUCGAGAUUCCAGAGAUCUCCGGACCCUGUGCUGAGGGUCUGGGAGAGGCGGCAGCCACGAGACCUCCAGUGCCUUCGUCAGAUGGAUGCCACAUAGACAGCAGUAACUAUUUACUGGAUGGAACCGGGAGGAAACAAGGCCACCAGGAGUGCUUCGUGGCUGAGGCAUCUGACACAGAGGUGACACGGGCUGUGCUGGGCCUACAGCCGUAGCCCCUGAAGUCUUACCCAGUUCCUCAUAACCCUUGAUCCCAGCUCCCACCACACGUCUCCCAGCGCCGCUUCUGUGCCCGGCCAGCUCCCCGGAUCCCACCUCUGCCCACCCCGUGCUUAUCACGUGUCAGCACACCCUAGGCUUCCGGUGAAUCGCUGUCCCCCACUGAAUCUGUGUAGAGGACUUUGCACUGUAAAAUCAUGUUAUACUGUAUUGUAUUCUCCAAUAUUGCUGUUAUUAUACACUCCAAUAUUACUAUCAUCCCCAAUAUUCUUAUUAUUAUCUCCAA